rnacentral:lncRNA from 1 species
GAGCGACUGAGUUGUGAUGCCUUGCCUGUGAGCACAACAAUAGUGAAGACGGUCGCCGGAGCUAUUUUUGAAAAAGGGCUCUCCGACGGUCAAGUUAGACGUCCGGAAUCUUAGAGAGAGAAAGUCUAUGUAUGUUUUUUAGAGUAAAAUUUUACAUACCUUUGUUAGAACAUUUGUGUUCUCCUUUAUACCUAGACUUAGCAUGUGGCUCAAUGCUUGUUGUGUCAAUGAGUGGGUGGCUGACCCGGCCACGCCUCUACAAUGUGGUUAGUAGUUACCAUCAAAUAUCGGCGUCUCUAUCAGGGCAUGGGGACUAUCAGAAGGCACUCUGUUGUGCAAAUUACCUUAUGUCCCCAGUCAUCCUUUGGGAUUAGCGCUGGUUGUUACCCCUCACCCAAACUUUCAGCGCAAUUAUUAUUCUGAGCUCGCUAAAUAGCAGCACCUUGGGGGUAGCAAUGGGCUUAGCUUGGGAGGGUAUUUGUCUGUAGUGGUGAUUUCUCCGAGCUCCGGCACAGAGGGUCUCUGGGCUUGCCCCGUGGCGACGGUUGGUCAAGACCUCUGCCCUAGCAAAGCCAGUGUCGAAUGGUACCCGUACCGAGUUCCAGCAUAGGGGGCCACGAGCUCGCUUUGUGGAGAUCGAUUGUUGGUGGGUUCCUACCCUAGUAGGGUUGGGUUACGUCAUUGUAUAAUUUGUCCUCUUACAGUAAUUUUUUGGUUAUCAAGAAAAAUAAAAAAUUUAAAAAUAAAAGCUAAAAAAUAAGAAUAGUAAUUUUUACACUUUCUUUUCUUUAAUUACACUCUAUUUUAUGUCUUUAUUUGGUAUAAGAUUAUCAAAAUAUUCAAGUAUUUAUAUUAUCUAAACUAUGUUUUCUUAAAAUAUUCUAAAGGACAUUUGAUUAUUUUUUCCUAAUUAAAAAAAAUAAGUGGAAAGAAAAGAAGAAUAUAAAAUCAUUGCCUAAAUUAAUAAAAAUAUGCUAAAAUGAAACUUUCAUGACUAAAGCUAUUAUUUAAAAAAUAUAAGACUUUGUUUGGAUACGUGUGCCAUUGGAUACUUUUAUUAAAAAAAAUAUUUUAAUUAUAUUUAUUUCAAUUAAUAUUUAUUUUGAAGAGAGAGAAGAGCGAUAUACAUGAAUUUGUUAAAUAAUAUUUAUUUUGGAGUUAUUAAAAAUUAUUUUUAUUUUACCAAUGAAAUUCAUAGGGUAAUUUUUCUUAAUUUCAAAAUAUCUUGCUCUAUUCCCAUCGAAACAUACUUGACAAAUUUGGAAUGGAAUUUUAAAUUUUUUAAUUUUAAAUUCACAUAUUCAAACAAACUUAAGAAUUCGUAAAAAAAAAAUGAAUGAGUGAACACGGAAUUGAUCCAAAAAUGGGCCCCAUCAUAGAAGAGUGCACAUUGACCAAGUUAUCAAUUUCGUAUUUUUAUUUUUAUUUUUUUUGAUUAAUCACAUAGUGUCCUAGACAAGCCUUUGGGCCCAUCCAGACUAAUAUCUGUGCCCUAAGCAGCUAGCCCUUCACACCUCAGGAUGUAAACACGGAUAUGCGACGCAGCCACCAGGAAUCGAACGCGAUACCUCCGAGUGUUAGCUCGUGUACCUGACGUCCGCCCGAAACGACUGCGCCUUGUGCCCGGGGGAAGAGGUGAGAAUCGAAUCCUGAACCGAAGUCCUGAUAAGGCCGCGCUUAUCACUUUGGCUAAGCCUUGUAUUUUUUAUAUUUUAUUUUACGCUUACUAUCAGUUUGGUUAUAAAUAGGGAAUCCCAAAAUCUUACUAUAUUGUACAACUCGAGAAAAAUGGGUUCCAGGAAGUUGCUUGUUUUGGAGAUCUUUCUCUUGACACUUAUCCUUCUCUUGGCUUUUGAAGUGGCUGCAAGGGAACUGCUUGACGUCACGGGUAAGUUUCAAUCUGGAUUCUUGCUUUUGGGAACUGCUUUGGCUUUAGGUUGGUCAGUCGUAUUGGCUUUUGGAUUCUAUCCGUUCAUAUGUAGGAUUUUCUGAAAAAUUCUAUAACGAUUUCUGAAAAAACUUUAAUUCUAUAAAAAUUUAUUUUAAUAGAAUUCAAAUCAAUCGUUAAUAUUAAUUUAUAUCAAGAUAAAUAAGUUCAAAAUAGAACCCUAAAUGUUUGAACUGAACUUAUCUACAAUAUGAACGGUUUGUGUCAUUAAAAUGAACUCAAAAUAAAACUCAAAAUUUUUGAGUUGCACCCAUACAACUUCAGAGAAGCCAGAUCCAUAUUAUAUAUAUGAACAUAAGAAUCUUGAUAUAUUAUCUUUUGGAAAGAGUUUUACUAGAGACAAUGAACAGUGGAUGGAUAAUGCAAAUUCACAUGUGGUGGUACCCACGUAUUUAUUAGCUCAUUGCAACAAAAUAUAUAUUUUUUAUUUUUUUAUUUUGAAAAUCAUGUCCAAUGUUCUCUUCUACUUUUUAUAUUUCGUGUUUGAUUGGCAACUAGAAAUGGUUAUAAGUUUAUAACACACACAACACUGUUCAUGCUUGGUAAUGUUAGAUUUUGUUAAAGUGUUUUUUGGAAAAGCAACCCUUGAAGUAUUUCUGAAAAUAUGCUUAAAUCGACCCUUCAAAAGAAAAAACAAAAGCAUUAAGUAAUUUUUUAAAGGUUUUCCAAAUAUUCACGUACAACGUUUUUCUAGAUAAAAAUUGACAAAAAGCUUCUAGAAAUUUUUCAAAACAUGCUCACUAUAUUCCAUAAGUGUGAAAUAUAAUAUAUCACACGAUUACACUCCCAUGGUAUAUUAUAUCCCCACCAGCAAACAUGGCCCCCUCUCAAUAUUCAUUCAAUGGCUAUGACCAAUCCUUUUUUUCUUAUCCCAAGCCAUAUCCUGAUAUCCUAACCCAAACAAACAUAGUAUAUGUAUUAUUACUUUUUUUAUAUAUCGUGUAUCUUAUUGUAUUACGUAUCUCUUUAUCUUUUUGUAUCCUUUCAUUUCAUAUUCGGACAAUCAAACAAACCCUUAUCAUAUUUGUGUUGUUAAAACAGGCAAAAUCGAUCGGCAGCUCAGCGCAAAUGAUUACCCCCGGGGUUACAGUUAUUCGUACCCCACUUAUUAUUCUCCCAACCGCCCAUGAUGUUUGUUGAUCAAAAUUUAGAACUUAUGUAUAAGACCGAUUAAAAAGGUGGUUGAUAUGAGCAUGAGAGGCUAUUUGCUUAGCAACCUAUUUUGUUGUCACUACUACUUUGCCUCUUUGAUAAAAAGAUGGCAUCUUGUAAAAUCUAUGAUAGCUUAUGAAUAAAAUUCAGUGACUAAAGCUGUCCAUGACAUUUACUAUUA